GGGCGCCGCCGCCCUGGCCGCCAUGUGCUCCCAGCUCUGGUUCCUGACCGACAGGCGCAUCCGCGAGGACUACCCGCAGGUGCAGAUCCUGCGCGCCCUCCGGCAGCGCUGCUCCGAGCAGGACGUGCGCUUCCGGGCGGUGCUCAUGGACCAGAUCGCCGUCACCGUCGUCGGCGGCCACCUCGGCCUCCAGUUGAACCAGAAGGCCCUCACCACCUUCCCAGAUGUGGUGCUCGUGCGGGUACCCACACCCUCUGUGCAGUCAGACAGUGACAUCACUGUCCUGAGACACCUGGAGAAACUGGGCUGCCGCCUGGUCAACCGCCCACAGAGUAUCCUAAACUGCAUCAACAAAUUCUGGACAUUCCAAGAACUGGCUGGUCACGGGGUCCCCAUGCCAGACACCUUCUCCUAUGGUGGGCAUGAAGACUUUUCAAAGAUGAUUGAUGAAGCUGAGCCCCUGGGCUACCCGGUCGUGGUGAAGAGCACACGAGGCCACCGGGGAAAAGCUGUUUUUUUGGCAAGAGAUAAGCAUCACCUCUCAGACAUCUGCCAUCUGAUCCGCCAUGAUGUGCCCUACCUGUUCCAGAAGUAUGUGAAGGAGUCCCACGGAAAAGAUAUCCGGGUAGUGGUGGUUGGGGGCCAGGUGAUAGGCUCUAUGCUUCGCUGCUCCACAGACGGACGGAUGCAAAGCAACUGUUCUCUCGGUGGUGUGGGUGUCAUGUGCCCACUGACGGAACAAGGCAAGCAGUUGGCUAUUCAGGUGUCCAACAUCCUGGGCAUGGACUUCUGUGGCAUCGACCUGCUUAUCAUGGACGAUGGUUCCUUUGUGGUGUGUGAGGCAAAUGCUAACGUCGGCUUCCUAGCCUUCGACCAGGCGUGCAAUUUAGAUGUGGGUGGGAUCAUCGCAGACUACACCAUGUCCUUGCUGCCCAACAGGCAGACUGGGAAGAUGGCCGUCCUCCCGGGACUGUCGAGUCCUAGGGAGAAGAACGAGCCCGAUGGCUGUGCUUCAGCUCAGGGAGUUGCCGAGAGCGUCUACAGCAUCAACGGCGGGUCUACCUCUAGUGAGAGUGAGCCUGAACUGGGAGAGAUCCGGGAUUCCUCAGCAAGCACAGCAGGGGCCCCGCCCCCCAUGCUGCCGGAACCUGGCUACAACAUUAACAACAGGAUUGCUUCAGAAUUAAAACUGAAAUGAAUUUCUGCUUUUUGGCAGCACUGAAACCAAAUCCUACUGCUUCCCUAGUCGUUUUGAGUGAAUAAAAUCUGGACUAAUGUGAUAUCGUUUGCACAGAAACUAGAAAUCCCAUCUGGGCACUCAGCAUUCUUUCUAAUGAUGAUUUAAGCAAAUGGCCUAGCUUUGUGGUUUUUACAAAGACUAAUAUAAAAACACUCACCAAGAACAACAUCCCGACUGAUCGAUCUGAGACUGAGGUCUGCUGCCAGCUCUGUGACACCAUGGCUGACUUCAGGACACUGAUCCUGUGCCACUGCUUCUGGCUCCUCACAGUGGAGUCCGUGAACUGGGAAUGGCUCCUGGAAAUACUGUGGUCAGAGAUAACCACGAGACAACUGUGUGCAGACGAGGCGGAAUGUGACUGCAGGAAUGUGUUCUUCGUGAAGUAUGUGUGUGAUGCUUGGAGAAUACACAGUUCAAACACUAUGAGAGGAUCAGUCUCUGCUCCCCAUCAGUCACCAUCUUGACCCUAUUUCUCUGACACUCAGGAUAUGAUGUUUUAGGGAGCUUUCUCAUUAGCAUUUUCAAUGAAGCACUUUGUAGAAAGUGAAAUCGAGCAUUCUCUGACUUCGCUGGUUGGCAGAUGUCCUGCUUUGUCACUGGGGCUUUCUACAAAUUGCUUUGCCACUCUGAAUUGAUAGGCCUUGCUUCGACUAACGCCAGCCCCAGCAGCUUCUUGCACCUUUGCUGCCUUUGGCCUCAGCCAGAAAUGCACUUCAGUGAGCUAGUGGCCACACACUUUGUUUCUUAAGCGUGCACUAGAAUCGAACACCAUGGACUUCCUUUUCAAUGGACUGUUCAUUUGUCAUCUAGCAGCCCCUGGGUUUUUACCAUAGUGAGCUACGGAAAGAUUCUCUCCCCCCACCACCCUGCCUCUCCUGAAACUACUGCUUAGCUGUAGGAGGUUUCCUUGUAUGACUUGGUGUUUGAGUCUAUUGGGUAGAUAGAGCCAUUGGAAACAUGCUCUGAUCCCCUGACAGUCUACUCUUAUCCAGGCUCCAGAGACCUGUCCUUACCCACUUUUCCACACUGGGGAGUCUCAGGUAUCAGGAAUUACUCAUUGCACAUUGGAGAGGGGUGGUGGGGUAAUGUAGAUACGACACCAAGUGCUUUUCGUUUUAAUUCUUCAAGUAGUAGAUAAGAUCCUUCCCUUGGGAGAAAUCAUGGAGAUGGAGUUUUUCAUUUCUGUUCAUGUGAAGUAUGACUGGAAAUGAGCAAGGCUACCUUUUUAACCAAGUCCAUGAGAACACAUGCACUCAGGAGUCCUCAUAAUUGGAGUUAGUUCCUUGGGAGACCAUACUCUUGAACUGUAAUGUUGCAUGUGCCAAGAGCACUUAGAAUUCCUCUUUGGGGUUAUCUUUGAAGCCAUGCAAGGAAAGGGGCCUCACAACUUUAGAGUCAGGCCUUGAUUUUUUUUUUUUUUUUAUCCACCAUCUCCCAUUUGCCCACUAAAGUGGUCCCAAGCUCUGUCCCACAUUUUGUGUAUCAGACUUCUUUUCUAAUGCUCUUUGAAUGUUAAAAAAGAAUGCUAUUCCUCAAAAAAUAGAUCUACCCUUAAAGAUUUACCAAAUCAAAGAAGCUUACAAGUUGACACUUUUCAAAGAGGGUUCUAGAAAUGUUCCAAGUAAGGUCAGCUCCACUAGAAUAAACAUACGUCUCCUCAAGGUGACUACUUUGAAGGUAAUACCACCCAUUUGGGUAUAUAAAUACCUGCACUUAUUCUGCUGUCAAUGUAAAAUGUGUAUAAAGUUAAACUACAUGUUUUUCACCACACAUUUAAAUAGCAAUUGGCUUUCAAAUGUAGUUAAAACCGUAUCUCACCAAGUUACAGUUGUACAGUUGAAAAAUGUUUGGUGCCAUGGAAUGGACACGUCACUCUAUAAAGUUAUAGUUUAAAUGCAGUCCACACAGGGUGCAUGCCACUGAACUGUAACCCUAUAAUGUGUCUUGUACAGUUGAAAAAUGAUCAUCUUUCACUUUUAUGUAGGUUAAGACAUGUACCUUUACCACUCAGGGUGGCUUUAGAAGAUGGACAGUUUUAGGUUUGUUCUCGCUGGACUUGGUCAGAUGCUUUCUGUCCAAACAUCUGAACCAAGUGAUGACCUUCUGGAAGCUGCAUUCCCUCAUUUCCACUGGUUAGUGUUUCCACACUUUAUUUAAAAGGAUGUUAGCAGAGCCCCAUUCUAAGUAGAGCACCUAUGAUUACUUCCAGAUUCCUUUGCCAAAGAGGCUUGUUUCCCAGCUAUUAGUGACCUCUGUAGUCACUGGCAUCAUGGGCUAGAACUUAGCUCAUCUAGAAGCAGAGAAGGCUGAUCACAGUUGGCCCCUCACCCCUCCUCCAGGAAUUACCACACUGUGGCUAGCUGUGGGCUCUGUGAGCCUCAGCAGGUGGUCCGGCUCAACACUUGUCACAGCUGCCCACAAGGCCUGCUGGAAAGAACAUGGGGUAUGAAAUCAGAGCCUUGUUCUGGCUCCCCCUUAAACAUCUGCUCGACCUUGCAUAUUCAGAAACUCUGAGCCUCCAUUUGUCCAUAGAGCAGAUAAAGGGAUGGAAUGGAAUGACUUUUCCUCCUGGAGGUGCUUUGAGGUUGGCCUGAGCUAACAGAUGAGACUGCACUAUGUGGAAGGUGGUGAUAGCACACUUUCUGCAUCUGGUUUUAUAACUUUCUCAUCACCCUUCUCACGAGGGAGUUAAGAAAGAAGCCAUGAACCCUUUAAACAUUGAUAGGGGCCCUAACAAACAAUGCAGCUUCUCAGAAGCCUUACUUCCAGCCAGGAAAACUUAAGACCUGAAAAGGGUGAGGCUCAUAGUGUAUUUAAACAGCCUUGUGGAUGUAUCAUAUAUAACCUGAAACCCUUGACUCUUGUAUACCAACUAACAAAGUCUUCCUUAUGUAACGUAGGUCACAGUGUUUGUAUAUGGUCUUCCCAUUAUCUCGUAGUAGCAUCUUGAAACUGGUCAAAACUUGAAUGCCAAUAGCUCAGUCACUCCGAAUAUAUAUGAUUCUGCACUCGGGAAAAAUGUCUUCAUGCUAUCUGUCUGGUUGGGUAUGGGAUUGCCCAGAUGUGGAUUUGGGACUUUAGAUCUUUAGGAUCUGAGGAAAAAUAUAAGUAGAUUAUAAGCCAUUAGUGUCACAAUUGCAGACUCACUGCUUCCAGCUAAGAGGGUAUUUCAUGACAGUGGGUACAGAGAAAGGCAAGAAGGGAAGGGGAGAAGAUCUGGGAUAGUUUCACAGAAGUUGGAAUCAUUUGGGAUUCUAGCUGGAAGAAGGAAACAAAUGGCUCUUUCUGUGGAUUGUUCUGAUGAAAAAAGUCAUGAACAUGUAUUGAUUAGGGUCUUGGAAGCUCUUCUGUAUAAUGAGAUGCAUGGAUUUCCGACCUCCUGAAGAAGUGGGAGAGAUGUGCUUCAUCCCUGCGUGAAGUCCUAAGGAGCGUCUUGAGAACGCUGAAUGUAAGUAAAUCUGGGGAAGAUCGAAGAAGCUAGCUGGGCGGUCCCAAGACCACCCAAGUAAUAGCUGAACCUCCCAGAAGUUAAGCAGACCAGAACACCACGUGCAGGCAAAGCCCAGAGCCAUAGCUUUCUGAGGUGAAUUUAGGGACAGUGAAUCCAGUGUCGAUCAAACAGGUCACUUCAGCUUAGUAUUUUCCUUUGCACCUGGAGGUGAGCCUUCCGUUUGCUGUUAGCCUGUGCAGCUGUAGCUGCAGAUGUUUUGGGAAGGGCCCUGAUAACAGCCAUCUUUGUCACUGCCCCUGAAUUUAAUAUUCUUAAAAUAGGGUUGUAGCCCAGUACAAAAUCCUGUGCUGUUUUUGACUGUGCCUCUGAUCAGUACAGAUUGUUGCUUUUAAAUGAUUUUACCGGGAAGACUCCUUCUCAGGGAUAUAUUCUAAUCCUUUCCAAAGAUGAUGACUCCAUUCCAAGUCUGUGGCUGGUUUCUGCAGCCCUCCCUCCUAAAGCUCAUGCAGGUGAUUGUGAAAACUUUCUUUUUCAAAGCCUUCAGUUGCCUUCCCCAGGUGCAGUUUCUGUGCCAGCAUGCAGCACCAUCCUGAGGCCUGUGUUGACAUUCCAACCCUGUUUGGUGUCCUUUGUGAGGUUCGUGUCCUCCAAGCAACACUAAAACUUCAUCUAUAGGACCCUGUGUGAGACCCCAGGAAUAGCAGUACUUUGAAGAAUAGUCCAGGUAUAAAUAAGAAGUGUGAGUUCCAGAGGCCAUAGUCACUUAGCCAGUCAGAGCAAGGCUGGACCCACGCAAUUUGAUUCUCCAUCCAGUUUAGCAUACUCCAGGGGUGGCUCUAUUCCUCUUGGCAUCUAGCCCUUGCUGUCAUCCUGGGCCCACCCUCUUUCUGCAGUCCGCUGUUCGAGAUUAACAUGGUGAUGAUGUGCCAGGUGUCAAAUGUUUAGCACUGGGUUAACUUCUAGGUGAGAGCUCCGAAGGUGAGACGUCCAUGAUGCAAGCUGGAUUGUGGUCUGCACCUUCUUGAAACCAGCCAAGACCACUUAGCUCCACCCCACCCCUUCACUGAGGGGGCAUGAGGGAGAAGGCCCAGGUCAAGCCUACUGAAGGCUUCCUCAGCCCAAGAUUGGCUGAUGUUUCCUAUUGCAGAAUGUCUUAGAGGCCAAGGGUUUGAAGUUCCUGAACUUAGGCACACCCAGGCUGGGAGGGAGGUGGAUCCUGCUUGAUACACAUGCUCUAGCUGUGACCAGCAAUGCAGUCAAAAGUUUCCUCCCUCUGUUGCACAGUGCAUUCCCCCUUGUGGCCAGAUACUAGGCACAGAUUCUUCCCUGUUGUAUUUCAAAUCUCUGCUGAGGAUUCCUUAUCCUUGAGUUCCAGACAGGUCUGAUCAUUCUGAGCUCUGGUUCUGAGUCUCUGGAUUCCCGUGAAUUAUAUUUUAGCAGCCACUGCUGACUCCAGACUUCAGCUACCUCACUUUAAGCAACAAUGUUAUCUUGUUCACACACAGCAAAAUUCAAAUGAGCGUGUGUGCAUGUGUGGAUGUGUGUGUGUGUGUGUGUUCGCUUCUUCCAAUGACGUGGGCGGGACUUGCAGACAUUGCAGCAAUGCAGACUUAGCAUCCUACUCAUAGAACGUGCUUCUCAAACAAUACAAAGGAAUCUCCACUCACCUUUCACUCCAUGUGGUUCCUGUCUCCCUUUCUUGGGACAAACCAGAUGCAUUUAUGGUCUCUCACUAUCGCCAUUCCUCUUUUCGAUAUUACCUUUUACUGUAGGUGGCUUAUUAAAGGGUUUUCCUAAACAAAGAUGGCUCCCUCCUCAAGGGGAGCUUGAGUGCUGUGUCUCUUAAGGUGAUAGAUUUCUCACUCCCACAUCACUCGGGAGGCAUCACAGCAACCGCAUUCACUCCUAGCUGUCAAGGGCAUACCUCAUGGAAGGCACUGUGGACUAAAGUGAUGGCAGCAGUUAGAUCCAGUUCAAUUCCUGUCUUAGAUCACUUCAAGCUUAGGCGACCUAGGGACAGUCACUUCAUCUCUCUAAAUCUUAGCUUUGUCACCUCUAAACACAGUCCUGAAUGUGAAGCACUUAACUGCAUGCCAGGCUUUCCAAGGGUUCCUGUCCCCUUGCCUCCCCCUCCCACACACCCCCCAGCAGUCACCACAGCUCCUUCCUGUGACUGGCUCAGUGCCAAGGGACAAAAGCUGGCAGACAGCAGCUUUACAGCUGGGAGAGGGAGACGCUGGGGGUAGGGCUGGCAGCUGCUCAAGCAUGCUGUGGUUUGGGCUUAAUGACUGAAAAGGUCCCAUCCAUCCUGGAGAGUCUGAUGCUGUGCUGUAUUUGGCUUAGGAAGAUCCUGACGGAAAGGCAGCCUGGGAUAACUGACAAGCAGCAGACCUUGGAUUAUUGAGCACCUGGGUUUUUUGGCUCUUCCUGUGUUAGGUUUGCUGGCUUUGCAGUAAAUGGAAAGAGGAGAUGCAGGGGACUUGAAUUAAACCCGUCAAACAGAGGGUGAGGGGUGUGCAGAAGGCUGGGGGGCUGUGCAGGGAACUCAUAGUCCGACAGCACCAUCUGGACUUGGCAGGGAUGGCAGCCCUGAAAAGCGGGUUGGAAUUAGCCAAUAAAACAGCUCAAAAUCUGCUCUCCUGGGCCUGGCCAGAGUGGGACCUCCAGAAUCUCCUAUUUAGAAGGAACACUCAUCUCCUGUAGGGGGAGAGCCAGAACCCUUACUCUACAGAGCUAAUAAAGAUCUUUGUGGAGGGGCCAGCAAGUGGCAUGG